UUAAGUAAACAACAAAACAACUUGGACGAUGGCAAAUAGAGGAACUUCUGCAGGGGUGUUCAAAUGAUCUAUGUGAAGGAUUCUGAGCUGGAGAGGCAGCUGUCACCAGAAUUGGUGAAAAAUAAGUGGGAGAACCUUAGGUUUAAGCAAAAAUACACUGCAGCUGUGGGCUCCUCUCCCUCCCAGAAGGGUCCAGAUGUUUAGGCAGGAGUAGGAGGUGACUGCCAGGAGGCACACUUUAUGGCCCUUUUAAAGGACAUGAUUAAGUAGUUUUAGGUAUUUUGUAUGUAUUUUAUUCAUAGCUAUUAAUUGAUUCAUUUUCUUGUCCUUUUUAAAACUCAUUGUGGAGUUAUGUUUUCUCAUUGAAAAGUGUUUCUUGUUUGUAAUAAACAUCUACUGAUGGUGGGUUUUGCUUUCAACAUUGAAAAAUGCACUCUCACAUCUGAGCUAUCUUGUUGCAGGUGCAUGGUAACAAUUGGAUAAGUUAAAGAUAAAGAAAGUAGCCAGAGCAGUGUGCCACUUUCUUUUAUCAAUCACUCGUCCUCUUGGCCUUCUGUCAGGUCUACUCCCGCUCCCCCUCGCCAGUGCUGGACAUCUCCGGUCUACUUACCACCGGUCCUGGAAACACACCUUUACACACACCUGCAUUUCCUCAUCAGUCACACUUGGACUUCAUUACUCCCUUGAUCGCUUACCCUUUGUAUAGCACACUUUUGUUAUAAGUCAUCAGGUAGUAUUGUUUGUGUUUUCCAUGUCAGAUGCUGCUCUUGUUUUGUAUCGUUUCAUGUUCAUCAUCAUUAAACUCACUAACUGUACCUGCUUUCUGACUCCCUGUGUCUAUGUAUCUUACACCGUCAGGGUUUUUGCUCUACUAGACUAAAUGAUCCUUCUUUGGUAUAAUAAUGAUUUAAUUACACUUCUAUAGCAGUUUUCAUAGAAAUUCAAAGUGCAUGAAAAGCAAAACACUAUGAAGCAGCACAUCAUGAGUAUGAUUACCUAGCCAGCUGUAGUUGACUAGGUAACCAAUAUAUCAUGAGUAGCCCAGCUGUAGUUGACUAGGUAACCAAUACAUCAUGAGUAUGAUUACCUAGCCAGCUGUAGUUGACUAGGUAACCAAUACAUCAUGAGUAGCCCAGCUGUAGUUGACUAGGUAACCAAUACAUCAUGAGUAUGAUUACCUAGCCAGCUGUAGUUGACUAGGUAACCAAUACAUCAUGAGUAUGAUUACCUAGCCAGCUGUAGUUGACUAGGUAACCAAUACAUCAUGAGUAUGAUUACCUAGCCAGCUGUAGUUGACUAGGUAACCAAUACAUCAUGAGUAUGAUUACCUAGCCAGCUGUAGUUGACUAGGUAACCAAUACAUCAUGAGUAUGAUUACCUAGCCAGCUGUAGUUGACUAGGUAACCAAUACAUCAUGAGUAUGAUUACCUAGCCAGCUGUAGUUGACUAGGUAACCAAUACAUCAUGAGU
rnacentral:lncRNA from 13 species